CGCGCGGACGUGGUUGCCGCCCUGAUUGCGGCCCAGGGGAAGCCCUGGCCGGGGGCGGGAGCGGCGCCCCGCCGAACGGAUGUCCGGGGGUCCCACCAGCCAAACUCUGGGCGAGAGGAGUCGGGCGGACUUCAGGGAAGCCGUCGCCCCACUUCCCUGCCCAAAACCCCAAACGCGGCCCCUCCGGAGGCCUCCCUGAAAAUCACGGCAAACCUUGCAGUAGGAAGUGAAACCAGAAGCAGAGCAACUUUCACUUUCUCGAUGCCACUUCGAUCCUCGCCGCAAGGGGGGAGCCAGGCACACUGUACUCCUUUCUAAAGGUGAACUCCCUCAAGCUCGGAGAGGUGACCCUGCAUUCCCUCCUCAGGAGCUAUCAUUCGGUUCUAACAGAUCUGGCCGUCAGAUGUCUUAUAUGGGUCCCAGGGUCCGAAAUCAAGGUGUUGGCAGAGCUGAUUUCUUCUGGAGGCUCCAGGGGAGAAUCUGUUUCCUUGGCUUUCCAGCUUCUGGAGGCUGUCUGCAGCCCUGACAUGCCACCCUUCACCCGUCUUCCAAACGCAUCCCGCCAGCGUCUGCUUCUGUCCUCACAUCUCCCUUGCUGACUGACCCUCUCACCUCCUUCUUAUAAACC